rnacentral:rRNA from 1 species
UUGCUUCUUCUGAUUUUAGCGGCGGACGGGUGAGUAACACGUGGGCAACCUACCUUGUAGAUUGGGAUAACUCCGGGAAACCGGGGCUAAUACCGAAUAAUCCAUUUUGCUUCAUGGCAAGAUGUUGAAAGGCGGCUUCGGCUGUCACUACGAGAUGGGCCCGCGGCGUAUUAGCUAGUUGGUAGGGUAAUGGCCUACCAAGGCGACGAUACGUAGCCGACCUGAGAGGGUGAUCGGCCACACUGGGACUGAGACACGGCCCAGACUCCUACGGGAGGCAGCAGUAGGGAAUCUUCCACAAUGGACGAAAGUCUGAUGGAGCAACGCCGCGUGAGUGAAGAAGGUUUUCGGAUCGUAAAACUCUGUUGUAAGGGAAGAACACGUACGAGAGUAACUGCUCGUACCUUGACGGUACCUUAUUAGAAAGCCACGGCUAACUACGUGCCAGCAGCCGCGGUAAUACGUAGGUGGCAAGCGUUGUCCGGAAUUAUUGGGCGUAAAGCGCGCGCAGGCGGUUCUUUAAGUCUGAUGUGAAAGCCCACGGCUCAACCGUGGAGGGUCAUUGGAAACUGGAGAACUUGAGUACAGAAG